CACGUAGUUAGCCGUGGCUUCCUCCUCGGCUACCGUCUCGUUUCGUCACCGAAGACAGAGGUUUACAAUCCGAAAACCUUCUUCCCUCACGCGGCGUCGCUGCAUCAGAGUUCCCUCCAUUGCCCAAUAUUCCCCACUGCUGCCUCCCGUAGGAGUCUGGGCCGUGUCUCAGUCCCAAUGUGGCCGGCCAACCUCUCAGUCCGGCUACUGAUCGUCGCCUUGGUGGGCCGUUACCCCGCCAACUAGCUAAUCAGACGCGAGCUCAUCUCAGAGCGAUAAAUCUUUGACAGCCAGGGAGAUGCCUCCCAGCUGUAUCAUGCGGUAUUAGCGGCUGUUUCCAGCCGUUAUUCCCCACUCCAAGGCAGAUUGCUCACGCGUUACUCACCCGUCCGCCACUUUCCCCACCUUCACUUGGACGAAUCCUCGAUCCAAUGGUUCUCGUUCGACUUGCAUGUGUUAAGCACGCCGCCAGCGUUCAUCCUGAGCCAGGAU
rnacentral:rRNA from 1 species